GACGAACGCUGGCGGCGUGCCUAAUACAUGCAAGUAGAACGCUGAAGGAAGGAGCUUGCUCUUUCUGGAUGAGUUGCGAACGGGUGAGUAACGCGUAGGUAACCUGCCUGGCAGCGGGGGAUAACUAUUGGAAACGAUAGCUAAUACCGCAUAAAAUUGAUUAUUGCAUGAUAGUCAAUUAAAAGGUGCAACUGCACCACUACCAGAUGGGCCUGCGUUGUAUUAGCUAGUUGGUGGGGUAACGGCUCACCAAGGCGACGAUACAUAGCCGACCUGAGAGGGUGAUCGGCCACACUGGGGCUGAGACACGGCCCAGACUCCUACGGGAGGCAGCAGUAGGGAAUCUUCGGCAAUGGACGGAAGUCUGACCGAGCAACGCCGCGUGAGUGAAGAAGGUUUUCGGAUCGUAAAGCUCUGUUGUAAGAGAAGAACGAGUGUGAGAGUGGAAAGUUCACACUGUGACGGUAUCUUACCAGAAAGGGACGGCUAACUACGUG
rnacentral:rRNA from 1 species